rnacentral:rRNA from 1 species
AUGAUAAUAGAUAGGGUAGAGGUAGAAACUAUCAAUUCUUUUUGGAAUUUGGAAUUAUUAAAAGAAGUCUAUGGACUGAUAUCGAUUCUACCCAUUUUGACCCUCCUUUUGGGAAUAACAAUAGAGGUACUCGUAAUUGUGUGGUUAGAAAGAGAAAUAUCUGCGUCGAUACAACAACGUAUUGGUCCUGAAUAUGCUGGCCCCCUGGGCCUGCUUCAAGCUAUAGCAGAUGGGACUAAGCUACUUUUUAAAGAAGAUAUUCUGCCAUCCCGAGGAGAUAUUUCUUUAUUUAGCAUUGGACCCUCUAUAGCAGUCAUAUCAGUUUUAUUAAGUUUUUUAGUUAUCCCUUUGGGAUAUCAUUUUGUUUUAGCCGAUCUUAGUAUUGGUGUAUUU